UCUUUUGUAUGUCCUUUAGUACCACCUAGUGGUGAUUCCCAAUAGCUGCUUUGAAAAGGAAGUGAGGGAAUAGUAAACAGGAAGUAGAGUUAAGGAAGUCCCUUUUUGCCCCUGUGUUCAUGGAAUAAGCAUCACAGUGUAACAGUGUUCUUAAUCCUGUGCCUUAAAGUCCACAAAAACAGCUUCAUCUAAGCUGACGGACUUGUGACGGGUCGUCUUUGUUGUUGUUGAAGACGUGAUAACGGCUGUUACACUUCUGGACGAUGUCUGUCAGCUGAAGAACCACCAGGAAGGCAUGUGGACCAGGAGAAGACAGACCGAUGCACAUCUUGAUCUUCUUCAACACAGCUUCAUUGGAUGUGACGGACUCUGCAGACAGUUCAGACUCAAACACUUCUUCUUCACCCAAGAUGGUGUUUCCUGCUGAACUCUUCCCCACUCCCGUCUUCCCAACCAGAACAAUCCUCCACUCAUCAGAACCUGUCAGACAAAGGUUAAGUUAGUUUCAGAGCAGUUCUGUAGCUGAUGUUUGUUUGGAAAUAUAUGCAGAACAAUAAAACUGCUUUACAGAGAGCAAUUCCCAAAAGAUCUUUUUUACUUAGUUUCCUACUUAUUACUUAAUUCUAAUUCGCACCAUCCCAGCCACCGUCUCAUCAGCCUCCUGAUACGAUACAGGACUGGAGCUGCUGUUCAACUGAAGCAAGCCCCCACCUCCCCGUUGCCCCCCACCUCCCCAUUUCCCCUCAGACCUGCAUAACACUAACUAAUAACUAGCCUGGAGUGUUGGCGGAUGGAGCAAUACUGUUUCUUUCUCUUAAAGUUCUUAUUGUUGGGUAGUUUUUUGGUUUUAUUUCAACUGAUUGAUGUUCUUACUAUUUUUUAAAAACACUAUGUGUUGGGAGCUGCUCUAUAAUUUUGUUGAACAAUGACAGUAAAGAUGAUUCUAUUCUAAAACCGUGUGGAAAACUGUUAGUUUGAUGUAUUGAUGUGAGGAAGGUUACAGUCUCCUCAUCGCUCCACACAGAUCUGAUGUUUUCAGCUCUUCAGU